UACGUAGGGGGCAAGCGUUGUCCGGAAUUAUUGGGCGUAAAGGGCACGCAGGCGGUUCCUUAAGUCUGAUGUGAAAGCCCACGGCUCAACCGUGGAAGGUCAUUGGAAACUGAGGAACUUGAGUGCAGAAGAGGAGAGCGGAAUUCCACGUGUAGCGGUGAAAUGCGUAGAUAUGUGGAGGAACACCAGUGGCGAAGGCGGCUCUCUGGUCUGUAACUGACGCUGAGGUGCGACAGCGUGGGGAGCGAACAGG
rnacentral:rRNA from 1 species